AUUGAACGCUGGCGGCAGGCCUAACACAUGCAAGUCGAGCGGGGUUUUCGGACCUAGCGGCGGACGGGUGAGUAAUGCGUAGGAAGCUACCCGAUAGAGGGGGAUACCAGUUGGAAACGACUGUUAAUACCGCAUAAUGUCUACGGACCAAAGUGUGGGACCUUCGGACCUCACGCUAACAGAUGAGCCUAGGUCGGAUUAGCUAGUAGGUGAGGUAAUGGCUCACCUAGGCGACGAUCCGUAACUGGUCUGAGAGGAUGAUCAGUCACACUGGAACUGAGACACGGUCCAGACUCCUACGGGAGGCAGCUGUGGGGAAUAUUGGACAAUGGGCGAAAGCCUGAUCCAGCCAUGCCGCGUGUGUGAAGAAGGUCUUCGGAUUGUAAAGCACUUUAAGUUGGGAGGAAGGGUAUUCACCUAAUACGUGGGUACUUUGACGUUACCAACAGAAUAAGCACCGGCUAACUCUGUGCCAGCCGCCGCCGUAAGAC
rnacentral:rRNA from 1 species